UGCUAAGAAGCGAGCGAUAGCACUAGCCCUGAUUGUAAGAAGAAGAAAGAGAGCAGCUCUUGACAGUGUCUGUCAUGUCUCCAUGACACAGCUUUUCUCCCGAUGAAAAAACGGAGGAGGAUAGAUAAACAACCAAAACAUACAGAGACCAUUUGAAGGUAAAAUCUCUCCCACACGUACAUAGAUAUCAAACUUAUUCAUUUUAUUCCUGCAGUGCACAUGGCCUUUGGUGUUUUAACCAU